GGCCCGCACAAGCGGUGGAGCAUGUGGUUUAAUUCGAUGCAACGCGAAGAACCUUACCAGGGUUUGACAUGAUACGAAUUUUUUGAAAGAAAAAAGUGCCGUUUGGAACGUAUACACAGGUGGUGCAUGGCUGUCGUCAGCUCGUAUCGUGAGAUGUUGGGUUAAGUCCCGCAACGAGCGCAACCCUUGUUUUUAGUUGCCUUUUAUGGAACUCUAAAAAGACUGCUGGUUAUAAACCGGAGGAAGGUGGGGAUGACGUCAAGUCAGCAUGCCCCUUACACCCUGGGCUACACACGUGCUACAUUGGACGAGACAAUGAGAUGCAAACCUGCAAAGACUAGCUAAUCUAUAAACUCGUUCUAAGUUCGGAUUGUAGGCUGCAACUCGCCUACAUGAAGGUGGAAUCGCUAGUAA
rnacentral:rRNA from 1 species